GGGGAUAGAGCUCAGUUGGUAGAGUGCUUGCUUCACAUGCGCAAGUGCACAAGGCCCUGGGUUCAAUCCCCAGCACCA
rnacentral:tRNA from 1 species